UACGUAGGUGGCAAGCGUUGUCCGGAUUUUACUGGGCGUAAAGAGCGCGCAGGCGGUCGUUCAAGUCGCGUGUGAAAGCCCCCGGCUCAACUGGGGAGGGUCACGCGAUACUGAUCGACUCGAAGGCAGGAGAGGGAAGUGGAAUUCCCGGUGUAGUGGUGAAAUGCGUAGAUAUCGGGAGGAACACCAGUGGCGAAGGCGACUUCCUGGCCUGUUCUUGACGCUGAGGCGCGAAAAGCUAGGGGAGCAAACGGGG
rnacentral:rRNA from 1 species